rnacentral:rRNA from 1 species
AUUGAACGCUGGCGGCAUGCUUUACACAUGCAAGUCGAACGGUAACAGGUUAAGCUGACGAGUGGCGAACGGGUGAGUAAUGCAUCGGAACGUGCCCGAUCGUGGGGGAUAACGCAGCGAAAGCUGCGCUAAUCCCGCAUACGAUCUGAGGAUGAAAGCGGGGGACCGUAAGGCCUCGCGCGAUCGGAGCGGCCGAUGUCAGAUUAGGUAGUUGGUGGGGUAAAGGCCCACCAAGCCGACGAUCUGUAGCUGGUCUGAGAGGACGACCAGCCACACUGGGACUGAGACACGGCCCAGACUCCUACGGGAGGCAGCAGUGGGGAAUUUUGGACAAUGGGCGAAAGCCUGAUCCAGCAAUGCCGCGUGCAGGAAGAAGGCCUUCGGGUUGUAAACUGCUUUUGUACGGAGCGAAAAGGUCCUUUCUAAUACAAGGGGCUCAUGACGGUACCGUAAGAAUAAGCACCGGCUAACUACGUGCCAGCAGCCGCGGUAA